AUGACCCCAAUAUAGAGUGGCGCAGUAUUCUAGUCGGUUCCUCUCUUCUGAAGGCGGGGCUAAAAAUCCGCCAAAGGGCACAUCGAUGAAGUCCCUGGUGUUGGCUUCUGACGCCCCGUCGGGGGUCGAUGCCGGGGGUUAAGGAGGAAGGGCGAUCCACAAGGGCAUGUGGGCGAUGACCCGGCCUUCGCGGAGGCCCCAAAAGUGUGAUGAGAUGUCGCCGGAUAUUUUCGUCCCUUUGGGGUAUCAACCUGUCUUGCGGGCAUUCGACGGCCUAGUAGACAGCGUAGCCUGCCUUGAGUGGUGUCGCGGGGAUGGGAGCCUUUGAUGAAGGGUUUUUCUGAAAGCGUCACUGCAAAAGAGGAUAGGAAGAGCCUUCCGGAACCGUUGGGGAAAACCCCUAGACUGUUUGCUUAAUGGCAAGGUGGGUCGGGGAUUGAAGUGCGGACUAAGUGGUAAUCCAGUCUGGCGAACGGUGACGGCGCUGAGGAAGAGUAUAAAGGGAAACCGCCACGAUGGCGACAUCGCGGAUCUCUUCUUGGGAAAACCUACUGGACCUAAGCCGCAAUAUUUACUCGAACGACUGCCACUCUAACUCGCACUUAU
rnacentral:sRNA from 1 species